GACGAACGCUGGCGGCGUGCUUAACACAUGCAAGUCGAACGGAAAGGCCCUGCUUUUGUGGGGUGCUCGAGUGGCGAACGGGUGAGUAACACGUGAGUAACCUGCCCUUGACUUUGGGAUAACUUCAGGAAACUGGGGCUAAUACCGGAUAGGAGCUCCUGCUGCAUGGUGGGGGUUGGAAAGUUUCGGCGGUUGGGGAUGGACUCGCGGCUUAUCAGCUUGUUGGUGGGGUAGUGGCUUACCAAGGCUUUGACGGGUAGCCGGCCUGAGAGGGUGACCGGCCAAAUUGGGACUGAGAUACGGCCCAGAAUCCAACGGGAGGCAGCAGUGGGGAAUAUUGCACAAUGGGCGGAAGCCUGAUGCAGCAACGCCGCGUGCGGGAUGACGGCCUUCGGGUUGUAAACCGCUUUCGCCUGUGACGAAGCGUGAGUGACGGUAAUGGGUAAAGAAGCACCGGCUAACUACGUG
rnacentral:rRNA from 1 species